AAUAUUGCACACAGGGCGAAAGCCUGAUGCAGCAACGCCGCGUGAGUGAUGAAGGCGUCCGGGUCGUAAAGAUCUUUGAUCAGGGAGGGUAAGGACAGUACCUGAAAAACAAGCUACGGCUACCUAAGUGACAGGAGCCGCGGUAAUACGUAGGUGGCGAGCGGGGUCCGGAAUUACUGGGGGUAAAGGAUGCGUAGGUGGAUACUUAAGUGGGAUGUGAAAUCCCCGGGCUCAACCCGGGAACUGCAUUCCAAACUGGGUAUCUAGAGUGCAGGAGAGGAAAGCGGAAUUCCUAGUGUAGCGGUGAAAUGCGUAGAUAUUAGGAGGAACACCAGUGGCGAAGGCGGCUUUCUGGACUGUAACUGACACUGAGGCAUGAAAGCGUGGGUAGCAAACAGG
rnacentral:rRNA from 1 species